rnacentral:pre_miRNA from 1 species
UUAGAUUGAGUAUUACAUCAGGUACUGGUGUGCAAUUAAUUCAAUAACCAGUGCUUAUGUUAUGCUCUUUCUAA